UACGAAAGGUGCGAGCGUUGUUCGGAUUGACUGGGCGUAAAGCGCGUGUAGGCGGUUUGGUAAGUCAGUUGUGAAAUCCCUGAGCUCAACUCAGGAACUGCAAUUGAAACUACCUUACUUGAAUGCUCGAGAGGUUGGUGGAAUUCCAGGUGUAGCAGUGAAAUGCGUAGAGAUCUGGAGGAACACCGGCGGCGAAGGCGGCCAACUGGCGGUGCAUUGACGCUGAGACGCGAAAGCGUGGGUAGCAAACAGG
rnacentral:rRNA from 1 species